rnacentral:rRNA from 1 species
ACUCCUACGGGAGGCAGCAGUGGGGAAUAUUGCACAAUGGGCGCAAGCCUGAUGCAGCCAUGCCGCGUGUAUGAAGAAGGCCUUCGGGUUGUAAAGUACUUUCAGCCAGUUNGGAAAAGGGGCGGUAACGGUUUAGUAAUUAAGUGCUCGCUUAUUAUUUGACGUUUAGCCNAAGAAGGAAAAAGCCGGACGCUAAAACCUUCCGUUGGCCCAGAAGCCCCCGGGGUAAUACGGAGGGUGCGAGCGUUAAUCGGAAUUACUGGGCGUAAAGCGCAAUGCCAGGUGG